AUUGAACGCUGGCGGAAUGCUUUACACAUGCAAGUCGAACGGCAGCACGGGUGCUUGCACCUGGUGGCGAGUGGCGAACGGGUGAGUAAUGCACCGGAACGUAUCCAAUAAUGGGGGAUAACGCACCGAAAGGUGUGCUAAUACCGCAUACGCCCUGUGGGGGAAAGCGGGGGAUCGUAAGACCUCGCGUUAAUGGAGCGGCCGAUGCCGGAUUAGCUAGUUGGUGAGGUAAAGGCUCACCAAGGCGACGAUCCGUAGCUGGUCUGAGAGGACGACCAGCCACACUGGAACUGAGACACGGUCCAGACUCCUACGGGAGGCAGCAGUGGGGAAUUUUGGACAAUGGGCGCAAGCCUGAUCCAGCCAUUCCGCGUGAGUGAAGAAGGCCUCGGUGUAAGACUCUUUCUAG
rnacentral:rRNA from 1 species